rnacentral:rRNA from 1 species
ACGGCGAGUGAAGCGGCAACAGCUCAAAUUUGAAAUCUGGCCCUCGGGUCCGAGUUGUAAUUUGUAGAGGAUGCUUUUGGCGCGGUGCCUUCCGAGUUCCCUGGAACGGGACGCCUUAGAGGGUGAGAGCCCCGUACGGUUGGACACCAAGCCUCUGUAAAGCUCCUUCGACGAGUCGAGUAGUUUGGGAAUGCUGCUCUAAAUGGGAGGUAAAUUUCUUCUAAAGCUAAAUAUUGGCCAGAGACCGAUAGCGCACAAGUAGAGUGAUCGAAAGAUGAAAAGCACUUUGAAAAGAGGGUUAAACAGCACGUGAAAUUGUUGAAAGGGAAGCGUUUGCGACCAGACCUCUCCCCGGCGGAUCAUCCGGCGUUCUCGCCGGUGCACUUCGCCGGGCUGAGGCCAGCAUCGGUUUCCGCGGGGGGACAAAAGCGGGGGGAACGUAGCUCCCUCGGGAGUGUUAUAGCCCUCCGCAUAAUACCCUCGCGGGGACCGAGGACCGCGCUUCGGCAAGGAUGCUGGCGUAAUGGUCGUCAACGACCCGUCUUGAAACACGGACCAAGGAGUCGAACAUUUGUGCGAGUGUUUGGGUGUCAAACCCUCACGCGUAAUGAAGGUGAACGUAGGUGAGAGCCUUCACGGGCGCAUCAUCGACCGAUCCUGAUGUCUUCGGAUGGAUUUGAGUAAGAGCAUAACUGUUCGGACCCGAAAGAUGGUGAACUAUGCGUGGAUAGGGUGAAGCCAGAGGAAACUCUGGUGGAGGCUCGCAGCGGUUCUGACGUGCAAAUCGAUCGUCAAAUCUGCGCAUGGGGGCGAAAGACU